GCACAACUGUAGGUUUUUUUAAAAGAAAUAUUUAGGUAAGAGAAGAGAUAAAUGUAAAAUUAUUUUUAUACUUGUUUACUCUAACCAAGCUACAUUCACUCUCCUUCGCAGGGGGUUCUACUAUAAUCUUCAAAAGAUUACAACUGAGUAUUCUCAUAAUUCCUAGUUUGGGUAUUCGCACCACUCCCAAUACUAGACUACCACGCCUAAAUUUUCACUAAGUAUUCGCACCAC
rnacentral:lncRNA from 1 species